UAGGAGGCGGGAGAGGUGGACGGUACUCCACGUGUAGGGGUAAAAUCCUUUGAUCCGUGGAAGACCACCAGUGGCGAAGGCGGUCCACCAGAACGCGCUCGACGGUGAGGGAUGAAAGCUGGGGGAGCGAACCGGAUUAGAUACCCGGGUAGUCCCAGCCGUAAACGAUG
rnacentral:rRNA from 1 species